GCCAGCAGCUAUAUCACCCUGCAGUUCUCAACUAGGAAAGGCCCCUGAAACAAAGUAGGGUUGAGCCUGGUCAGUACCUGGAUGGGAGACCUCCUGGAAAGCUAUGGCUGCUGCUGGAA
rnacentral:rRNA from 1 species